CUAGGGGCUAUCUUGGAGUAAAAUUUAGGAAAGUAUGGUAUGAUCUUUGAACUAUUUAUUGGAUGACCAUUAGCUUGUGCAACAUGAUUAUUUAUUGUUUUUGUCAAAUUUUGUGUGGUCGGGUUAGAAAAGAAUCAACUCAAAUUGUCAUCUUAGGAAUCUGGUUUCUCAUAAAUGUUUUCGGGUAUGCUCCAAAUUCAGCAACUGCACAUUUAUCUGUUAUGCAUUUUUCCCCCUACUGAAAUAAAAUGGGCUCUUAAAUAUCAGGUCUUCUGAUGUUUUCUCCCUUAUGUGUUUCAUUUUCUAUUUUUUUCUGUUACAUCUAGAGAUAAGCAUGGCCCUUCUUAUGGAUUUCAACAAUCACAAGCUCAUCCCCAUGAAAUUAUGAUGGAGGUCAUUAAUGUUUUUCAAGAAAGUUUGGUCCCUAUACUGUGACAUCAGACAUGUAGAUGGUUACUUCGAGACAUCGGCAUUCAGAAGAUAUGGUCGAUGGCCAUAUGCAUGUAACUCCUGGCCUUGGUUAUGAAUCUGCAAUUCUGGAAAGUGAUGUAGUUGGAAAGUCUGUUAACGUAGUCAAGUUUGAACUUCAGAUAAGAUUCCUUUGUUUUCUUAUCUGGCCAUGAUUUUUAUAAGGGUAAUGUUGAUAUGUGAUAUGUAUUUCUGCAAAGAAUUGUUGCAGCUAAAUGAUCCAAUUGUUUUUGGACCAUCAUUAUCCAUUUAUCCUUUAAAUAUAACUGUUUUUACUGUCUGCUAGAUAACCUACUCCAAAUCACUACUACUUCAUUCUUGCGAUAUGUAAUAGUACCUCAAAUUUUUUAAUGAUAGAAUUGUCCAGUAAUUUCUUUGUAUGAGUGUGCAAUGUCAAAGAAAUGACAACAGCUAUAGGGAAGGUCCAAGGAACUUUCUUGACAUGUUUAAUUCAACUGAAGACAUAAUCCAAUGAUUAAUUGUCAUUAUCCAUAAACAUUACCUACUGAAGACAUAAUGUUUAAUUGGGUAUAGCUGUGAAUAUGUUCUUAAUAUUGUUUGAUUAAAAGGCACAGUAAUUUAUUGGUAUGGUCAAAAUCCAAAAAAUGGUAACUGCUGUAAUGAGGAACUUUCUGUACCUUCCUUAUACUGAUUAUUACCUCUUAUGCAUCAUCACCAUUCAUAUUGGUUUAUUCUGCUUAAAAUUGGGAUUAUGAUAAUUUUCUCAUGUGCUUUAUUGCACUCAAAAGUCGCAUCAUUGGUUGUUUCUUCUUCACAGUCAUAAUAUUCUAUCUUGUAACUAUAAUUACCAACAUAAUGGUUGCCUUUUGCAUUUUCCUUGACCCAAAUAAUCUAAGAAAGGCAACCGGUAAUAACAUGUAGGUAGUUUCAAUCAUGAGAUUUAAAACUGAAAUUUCCACUUCAAUUCAAAGCUUGCUAUUUUUCUAUGUUUCGUGUUACUGAACCCCGGACAGGGAUGCCUUUGCUUUCCAACUUGCUUACUGCCUAUGUUAACUUACCAUAUUCUUUUUUUCCUCGAAAAGCCUCUCUGCUGUAGCUAUUGUGGGAAUAUUAUUGAAGAAUCUGGAGGUUGAUUUACUAUCCACAUUGCCCCAUGUUUAAGCACGACAUCAUACUUUUUCAUUUCUUAUCUUUCAGAUGACUUGUUGCGUUCCUCUGGAGAAUGCUAAUUAUCGAAUGAUAAACAAGGGAACUACUGGUUUACAAAGAAAUUAUGAUUUUCUGGAACAGGGAUGCUUUCUAAGUUUCUCUAUGCAAUUUAAUUCUUAAGAUAUCAGUGACUGUUGCCGACAAUUCUUAGAAUGGAUGUGUGCAUUCUGAAUUGUCGAAGAGUGAGAGGCUUGCUAUCCUCCUUUUUGUGCUAAAAGAUUUGGAGAGCACAAAUUCAGCACUUACGGAUGCAUGUUGAGAAGAUGAACGCAAAAGUAUCUAACCAGCUACAUGAGUUGAGGGACCCAAAGUAUUUACUCUGUUUCCGCUGCUGCCAUUCUCUUGGGCUCCACCUAAAUUUAUACCACCACGCCAGAAGAUUUUUGACCCAACGUACCGAUCCAGCUUGCAAGUGUUCUCGCUUUCUAAUUGGGAGCAUGCACGUGGCAAACAUACUCCUAAAAUGAUGUGAUGCGUAUAUUUUAUUUUAUUUAUUUCAAUUUUCAGUUUACUAUUUCAAUUGAAAAGUACAAAGCUGAGAUGAAUAUGCUUUGAAUUUGGCGAUGUGCUUCCCUUGCGCCUUACAGUUGUUCUACUGUUGUGUUGAUUA